AUUGAACGCUGGCGGCAUGCCUUACACAUGCAAGUCGAACGGUAACAGGUCUUCGGAUGCUGACGAGUGGCGAACGGGUGAGUAAUACAUCGGAACGUGCCCGAUCGUGGGGGAUAACGAGGCGAAAGCUUUGCUAAUACCGCAUACGAUCUACGGAUGAAAGCGGGGGAUCUUCGGACCUCGCGCGGACGGAGCGGCCGAUGGCAGAUUAGGUAGUUGGUGGGAUAAAAGCUUACCAAGCCGACGAUCUGUAGCUGGUCUGAGAGGAUGAUCAGCCACACUGGGACUGAGACACGGCCCAGACUCCUACGGGAGGCAGCAGUGGGGAAUUUUGGACAAUGGGCGAAAGCCUGAUCCAGCCAUGCCGCGUGCAGGAUGAAGGCCUCCGGGUUGUAAACUGCUUUUGUACAGAACGAAAAGCCUCUUUCUAAUAAAGAGGGGUCAUGACGGUACCGUAAGAAUAAGCACCGGCUAACUACGUG
rnacentral:rRNA from 1 species